GUGUUGUAUGAAAGUACUCCCCUUGACAGGGUGAAAGAGAUACUUAAGCUUCCAAAACAUAUACAUGGUUAGGACAUUGCCACUAUUUCGUGGCAUCUAACCAUGUUUGUUU
rnacentral:ncRNA from 1 species